rnacentral:rRNA from 1 species
ACCCCUGUGAGGAUGCCCUACAGUUCUCCCGCGAGAACAAGGAGCUGGUAUCAGGCACACCCAUUCAGCCUACGACACCUUGCUUAGCCACACCCCCAAGGGAACUCAGCAGUGAUAGACAUUAAGCUAUAAGUGAAAACUCGACUUAGUUAAAGCUAAGAGGGCCGGUAAAACUCGUGCCAGCCACCGCGGUUAUACGAGAGGCCCAAGUUGACAGAUGCCGGCGUAAAGAGUGGUUAAGAUUCCUUAUUCAACUAAAGCCGAACGCCUCCAGAACUGUUAUACGCCCCCGGAGGUAAGAAGUUCCACCACGAAAGUGGCUUUAUUUAACCUGAACCCACGAAAGCUAUGUCACAAACUGGGAUUAGAUACCCCACUAUGCUUAGCCGUAAACAUUGAUACAACCCUACCCCACCAUCCGCCCGGGAACUACGAGCAUCAGCUUGAAACCCAAAGGACUUGGCGGUGCUUUAGACCCACCUAGAGGAGCCUGUUCUAGAACCGAUAACCCCCGUUCAACCUCACCCUCCCUUGUUUCUCCC